CAGUAGCCGCGGUAAUACUAGGGGGCUAGCGUUGCUCGGAAUGACUGGGCGUAAAGGGCGCGUAGGCGGCGAUCAAAGUCAGGCGUGAAAUUCCUGGACUCAACCUGGGGGCUGCGUUUGAUACUUGAUUGCUAGAGUGGGGAAGAGGGUCGUGGAAUUCCCAGUGUAGAGGUGAAAUUCGUAGAUAUUGGGAAGAACACCGGUGGCGAAGGCGGCGACCUGGUCCUUGACUGACGCUGAGGCGCGAAAGCGUGGGGAGCAAACAGGAUUAGAUACCCGAGUAGUCCCUGUCUCUUAUACC
rnacentral:rRNA from 1 species